AGUAGCAAAAAAAGCAACAUCAAUUGACUUACGUGGUGAUACAACACAAGGGUUUAAAGGUAAUAUACCUUUUUUGUCCAGUUUAGGAAGAUUUACAAACACCUUUUAGCCUUCGCUUCUUUACUUAGACACGCUAUUUCUAGCUGGGGGAGUAGCUUUAUCUUCGGUUGGGGCGUAUUUAUCACUAAAAUCAGCUGCAUCAGGCGAAAAAAGGUUGUUUUAGCAACUGGAAGUAAAGUAACAAACAACAGCUUAGUCGUUGCAGCAUUAAAGCCUUUCUUGGAUUGUUUCUUCCUAUGAACAAAAACCCAAGCUCCUUCAUCAAUAUGCUCUAAAGGGGAAGGGCUAUUGGACACAAUAGUCGAGGGAAUGACCAUUUUAGCAUUUGUAAAAGGUAAAGAGUUAUGCAUGGGGGGACAUAAUACCAUUUGAAGUACUAUUAGGAAAAGACGAUUCACCCAGCGGCGGAGCCAAAGGGGCUGGCAGGGGCCCUAGCCCCCCUAAAAUGGAAAAUUUCCAUUUAGGCCCUUUAUAAUUUAUCAAAUUUUAAAUUAGUAAUGGUAAAAUUAUACUUUGACCUCCCAAAAAUAAUAAAAAAUUGAUUUAAUACUUCAAAAAUUAUAAACAUAUAGACUAUUAAAGUGGUGAAAUUACUUUUUUACUAUCGUUAAAAUAUACAAUUUAAUUCGCCCCAAAAAAAAUUUUUUUGGCUCCACCAGUGGGUUCACAAUCAAUUCUUUUAGGGUUGUUUUCACAUAGAAUAAUAAUAUUGACCUUAGGACACUUAUCCUUUAGAUGAAUGAUAAUCCCACAAUAAAAACAAAAUAAAUCUAGACCCUUAUAAUGUUAGAAUUGUUUACAACCAUCAAUAAUUAAGAAUUGUUUAGUAGGUACUCAAUAUUAACUUGAACGCAAACGUGCGCAUAUUUACCCCUAAAUUCAGAACUAGUAGCAUUAUCGCCUUGUUUGUAAAAAAAAAAAAAAACCAUUAUCACCUUGAAGGAGAGUGCUUAGACUCUUCCCAAUUCUCUCACGGAUGCUUGGGUCGUAGUAUUCAAGAGAUAGUUUGGGUAAACAAAUCUAAACAACUAUUGAAUUGAAUAAAGCUUCCGAAGCUUUAAAAUUAGGAUGCCAUCUUCUCAUGGAGAUGAAAGAUCUAUUCACAAACAAUGGACCUCCUUUAAAACCUUAUCAAAAUCAUCUAAACAACUAAAUUUGACAACAAAGAAGCCCGAAUCUAAAUCAAUAAUUUGGAGUUCUUUGGAGGGGUUCCACAAAUGAUUUAACUUAAAGAGAAGAUAUUGAUAUCCAAAAGUUUUUCCAAAAACCUUAAUGAUAAGCAAGCUUCAAAGUUUGCAAAAUUAGCAUCGACAUACCACUCUCCUUGGAGAACUUUCAGGCGAGCACUUUGUUAAUACUCUUGAGGAGCUCCUCCUUUUCUUCAAAGGAGAGCUUAUUUGAUUCCUCCACAGCAGAAGGUUCAAGUCGGCUAAGGUUUCCA
rnacentral:lncRNA from 1 species